GUGUCAGCAGCCGCGGUAAGACGUAGGGGGCCAGCGUUGCUCGGAAUUACUGGGCGUAAAGGGUUCGUAGGCGGUGUGGCAAGUCGGAAGUGAAAUCUCUAGGCUCAACCUAGAGGCUGCUCCCGAAACUGCCAUGCUAGAGUGCGGGAGAGGCGAGUGGAAUUACAGGUGUAGCGGUGAAAUGCGUAGAUAUCUGUAGGAACACCCGUGGCGAAGGCGGCUCGCUGGACCGCAACUGACGCUGAGGAACGAAAGCUAGGGGAGCAAACAGGAUUAGAAACCCCCGUAGUCC
rnacentral:rRNA from 1 species